AGCAGCCGCGGUAAUUCCAGCUCCAAUAGCGUAUAUUAAAGUUGUUGCAGUUAAAAAGCUCGUAGUUGAACUUCGGGACCAGUGGGUUGGUCGUGCCUCUGGUACGUACUGGCCUUACAGGUUCCUCCCUUCUGAAGAACCACGAUGCCAUUAAUUUGGUGUUGUGGGGAAUCAGGACUGUUACUUUGAAAAAUUAGAGUGUUUAAAGCAGGCUAAAGCUUGAAUAGAUUAGCAUGGAAUAACGAAAUAGGACGUUUGAUCUUAUUUUGUUGGUUUCUAAGAUCGACGUAAUGAUUAAUAGGGAUAGUUGGGGGCAUUAGUAUUCAAUUGUCAGAGGUGAAAUUCUUGGAUUUAUUGAAGACUAACUACUGCGAAAGCAUUUGCCAAGGAUG
rnacentral:rRNA from 1 species